GGGUAUAGUUAUACCAAAAGAGCAAGGAGUACAUCGGUAGAUCACAUCUGCAACAGAACCAUUACAGAUUCCUUGUUGUAUCAAUGUCUCUGUGUUUAUGUUUACAUGAGUUCCUUGCUUUGCAGGUAUGUACAUAAUAUGUAGAGUUUAAGAAAAGCUGCAGAUCGUGCUUUAGUACAUGUGUCCCGUGAUGUCAGGUUUCUGAAAGAUUUUGCUGGCCUUUUAUAUUCCAUUCUCUUGGCAGGGC
rnacentral:lncRNA from 1 species